rnacentral:rRNA from 1 species
UUGAUCAUGGCUCAGAUUGAACGCUGGCGGCAGGCUUAACACAUGCAAGUCGAGCGGAAACGAUGRUAGCUUGCUAYCAGGCGUCGAGCGGCGGACGGGUGAGUAAUACUUAGGAAUCUACCUAGUAGUGGGGGAUAGCACGGGGAAACUCGUAUUAAUACCGCAUACGACCUACGGGAGAAAGGGGGCAGUUUACUGCUCUCGCUAUUAGAUGAGCCUAAGUCGGAUUAGCUAGAUGGUGGGGUAAAGGCCUACCAUGGCGACGAUCUGUAGCUGGUCUGAGAGGAUGAUCAGCCACACCGGGACUGAGACACGGCCCGGACUCCUACGGGAGGCAGCAGUGGGGAAUAUUGGACAAUGGGGGAAACCCUGAUCCAGCCAUGCCGCGUGUGUGAAGAAGGCCUUUUGGUUGUAAAGCACUUUAAGCAGUGAAGAAGACUCCGUGGUUAAUACCCACGGACGAUGACAUUAGCUGCAGAAUAAGCACCGGCUAACUCUGUGCCAGCAGCCGCGGUAAUACAGAGGGUGCAAGCGUUAAUCGGAAUUACUGGGCGUAAAGCGAGCGUAGGUGGCUUGAUAAGUCAGAUGUGAAAUCCCCGGGCUUAACCUGGGAACUGCAUCUGAAACUGUUAGGCUAGAGUAKGUGAGAGGGAAGUAGAAUUUCAGGUGUAGCGGUGAAAUGCGUAUAGAUCUGAAGGAAUACCGAUGGCGAAGGCAGCUUCCUGGCAUCAUACUGACACUGAGGCUCGAAAGCGUG